CUUGGGCAGGUGUCUCCGGGUGCCGUUCGGUUCGCGCCGGGCGGAGAAUCGGGAAGGCGGUGCGAUUCCGCCACGUGCCCAGCGCUGUAAGGAUGACGCUCGACGCAACAGGCCACUGGUUUUAGCCGGGAAGGCGCGGCGAGCGGGUGAAUCCGAGUCAGAAGACCGGCCGGGAGACAAGGCAAGGC
rnacentral:ncRNA from 1 species